CCUACGAGAGGCAGCAGUAGGGAAUUUUCGUCAAUGGGCGCAAGCCUGAACGAGCAAUGCCGCGUGAACGAGGAAGGUCUUCGGAUCGUAAAGUUCUGUUGAAGGGGAAAAAGAGCGGAGCGAGGAAAUGAACUCCGAUUGAUAUUACCCUUCGAGGAAGUCACGGCUAACUACGUGCCAGCAGCCGCGGUAAUACGUAGGUGGCGAGCGUUAUCCGUAAUGAUUGGGCGUAAGGGUUGCGUAGGCGGCCUGCUAAGUCUGGAGUGAAAGGUACCGACUCAACCGGUACAGGCUCUGGAAACUGGCGGGCUAGAGAGCAGGAGAGGGCGGUGGAACUCCAUGUGUAGCGGUAAAAUGCGUAGAUAUAUGGAAGAACACCAGUGGCGAAGGCGGCCGCCUGGCCUGUUGACUGACGCUGAGGCACGAAAGCGUGGGGAGCAAAUAGGAUUAGAUACCCGGGUAGUC
rnacentral:rRNA from 1 species